rnacentral:rRNA from 1 species
GGGGAAUAUUGGACAAUGGGCGCAAGCCUGAUCCAGCCAUGCCGCGUGGGUGAAGAAGGCCUUCGGGUUGUAAAGCCCUUUUGUUGGGAAAGAAAAGCAGCCGGCCAAUACCCGGUUGUUCUGACGGUACCCAAAGAAUAAGCACCGGCUAACUUCGUGCCAGCAGCCGCGGUAAUACGAAGGGUGCAAGCGUUACUCGGAAUUACUGGGCGUAAAGCGUGCGUAGGUGGUGGGUUAAGUCCGUUGUGAAAGCCCUGGGCUCAACCUGGGGAAUGGCAGUGGUUACGGGAUCAUAAGGGGGGGGCGGGGGGUAGUGAAUUCCCGGGGGUGGCGGGGAAUGCGUAGAGAUCGGGAGGAACAUCAGUGGCGAAGGCGACUGCCUGGGCCAACACUGACACUGAGGCACGAAAGCGUGGGGAGCAAACA